ACGGCUGCUCAGUAACACGUAGUCAACUUACCCUAUGGACGAGGAUAAUCUCGGGAAACUGAGCAUAAUACUCGAUAGAUCAUAAUGCCUGGAAUGGUUUAUGGUUGAAAUGAUUCAUCGCCAUAGGAUGGGACUGCGGCCUAUCAGCUUGUUGGUGAGGUAAUGGCCCACCAAGGCGAUUACAGGUACGGGCUCUGAGAGGAGAAGCCCGGAGAUGGGUACUGAGACAAGGACCCAGGCCCUAUGGGGCGCAGCAGGCGAGAAAACUUUGCAAUGUGCGAAAGCACGACAAGGUUAAUCCGAGUGAUUUCUGCUAGAGAAAUCUUUUGCAAGUCAUAAAACCACUAGUGAAUAAGGGGUGGGCAAGUUCUGGUGUCAGCCGCCGCGGUAAAACCAGCACCUCAAGUGGUCAGGAGGAUUAUUGGGCCUAAAGCAUCCGUAGCCGGCUCUGUAAGUUUUCGGUUAAAUCCAUGUGCUCAACGCAUGGGCUGCCGAAAAUACUGCAUAGCUAGGGAGUGGGAGAGGUAGACGGUACUCGGUAGGAAGGGGUAAAAUCCUUUGAUCUAUCGAUGACCACCUGUGGCGAAGGCGGUCUACCAGAACACGUUCGACGGUGAGGGAUGAAAGCUGGGGGAGCAAACCGGAUUAGAUACCCGGGUAGUCCCAGCUGUAAACGAUGCAGACUCGAUGAUGCAUUGGCAUGUAGCCAGUGCAGUGUCGCAGGGAAGCCGUUAAGUCUGCCGCCUGGGAAGUACGUACGCAAGUAUGAAACUUAAAGGAAUUGGCGGGGGAGCAG
rnacentral:rRNA from 1 species